GACGAACCGUGCGAACGUUGUUCGGAAUCACUGGGCUUAAAGGGCGCGUAGGCGGGCCGGACGGUCCGGGGUGAAAUCCCCCCGCUCAACGGGGGAACGGCCCCGGACACCGCCGGCCUCGAGGGGGGUAGGGGCGAGCGGAACGCUGGGUGGAGCGGUGAAAUGCGUUGAUAUCCAGCGGAACUCCGGUGGCGAAGGCGGCUCGCUGGACCUUCACUGACGCUGAGGCGCGAAAGCCAGGGGAGCGAACGGG
rnacentral:rRNA from 1 species